rnacentral:rRNA from 1 species
UACGGAGGGUGCAAGCGUUAUCCGGAUUUACUGGGUUUAAAGGGUGCGUAGGUGGGUAGGUAAGUCAGUGGUGAAAUCUUCGAGCUUAACUCGGAAACUGCCAUUGAUACUAUUUAUCUUGAAUACUCUGGAGGUAAGCGGAAUAUGUCAUGUAGCGGUGAAAUGCUUAGAUAUGACAUAGAACACCAAUUGCGAAGGCAGCUUACUACAUAGUUAUUGACACUGAGGCACGAAAGCGUGGGGAUCAAACAGGA